UACAGAGGUCUCAAGCGUUGUUCGGAUUCAUUGGGCGUAAAGGGUGCGUAGGCGGCGCGGUAAGUCGGGUGUGAAAUCUCGGAGCUUAACUCCGAAACUGCAUUCGAUACUGCCGUGCUUGAGGACUGGAGAGGAGACUGGAAUUUACGGUGUAGCAGUGAAAUGCGUAGAGAUCAUGAGGAAGACCAGUGGCGAAGGCGGGUCUCUGGACAGUUCCUGACACUGAGACACGAAGGCCAGGGGAGCAAACGGG
rnacentral:rRNA from 1 species